rnacentral:rRNA from 1 species
UACAGGGGGUGCAAACGUUGUUCGGAAUUACUGGGCGUAAAGGGCUCGUAGGCGGCCAACUCAGUCGGACGUGAAAUCCCUCGGCUUAACCGGGGAAUGGCGUCCGAUACUGGAUGGCUCGAGUUUGGGAGAGGGAUGCGGAAUUCCAGGUGUAGCGGUGAAAUGCGUAGAUAUCUGGAGGAACACCGGUGGCGAAGGCGGCAUCCUGGACCAACACUGACGCUGAGGAGCGAAAGCCAGGGGAGCAAACGGG